rnacentral:rRNA from 1 species
ACGAGGUGCUGCAUGGUUGUCGUCAGCUCGUGUCGUGAGAUGUUGGGUUAACGUCCCGCAACGAGCGCAACCCUUGUGUUUAGUUGCAAACAGGUCAAGCUGUGCACUCUAGACAGACUGCCGUGGACAACACGGAGGAAGGUGGGGAUGACGUCAAAUCAUCAUGCCCCUUAUGAUCUGGGCUACACACGUGCUACAAUGGCCGGUACAACGGGCAGCGAAGGAGCGAUCCGGAGCGAAUCCUAAAAAGCCGGUCCCAGUUCGGAUUGCAGGCUGAAACUCGCCUACAUGAAGUUGGAGUUGCUAGUAAUCGCGAAUCAGAAUGUCGCGGUGAAUGCGUUCCCGGGUCUU